rnacentral:lncRNA from 1 species
AAAUUAAAUUUUUAGUCCUUCCAAUUGUUUAUUAAUACUUUGUUAUCAUCAAAACCUUAAUAGAUUUAGGGGCAAACAUUUUUAAAUCAAUUUUGUUNNNNNNNNNNNNNNNNNNNNNNNNNNNNNNNNNUUUUGAUGAUGACAAACAUAAGUAUUAAUUGACAAUUGUUGUUAAAUUAACUUAUCAUGUUUCUCUUAGGUUUAUGAGGUUUGCAAGCUCCCCCUAAGAUUAAUACUCCAUAAAGUCUAAGCUUUAAGUUUUAUCCAUGAAAAUUUAAUUUAGUAUAAGACUUAAGUAUUUAAAGUAAAACAAAUUUCAUAUCUUUCUUCAGAGCGAGAGGUUUGCAAGCUCUCCCCCUGAGUCUCAUAAGGCUAAGUUAAAAUUGCACUUUUAACUUAUCCUUACUUAUGAAAUUUAAUUUUAGUUUUAAUUUACUUAAUCUCCGCAUUGAAAUACGUAAACCAAUUAAAAGAUAACUUUUAAUAACUUAACAAACAAAAGUGGUUUCAGCUUUUUGAAAACUUAUCAACUUUCAAUUAAUGCGUAACUACUCCCCCUUUUGUCAUUAUCAAAAAGUAAAAAAAUUUAGAUAACCAAGACAGUCAAAGAAGGAAAUUGGUUGUUACAAAGGUGAAUUUAUUUCAAAAGCGAAAACCAACGCGCCAAAAA